GUGGCUGUAGCUCAGUUGGUAGAGUCCCGGCUUGUGGUGCCGGUUGUCGCGGGUUCGAGCCCCGUCAGUCACCCCA
rnacentral:tRNA from 1 species